rnacentral:lncRNA from 1 species
UAAUCACAACCUUUUAUACUUAACCUUUUAUCUAAGCUAUUUGAUUUUAUAUUCAAAAUUAACGUAACCAACCUUUUAUACUUCUCCAACCAUCCCAACCAUUUAUAUAGUUUACAUUUAUAUACACGUUCAUCAUCAACAAAACUAAUAAACCUACACUUGAUUUCAUAUUCUUUCUAUGUAACCAACCUUUUCUACUUCUCCAACCAUCCCAAGCAUUUAUAUAGAGUAGAUUUAUAUACACGUUCAUCAUCAAUAAAACUAAUAAACACCUACACUUCCAUAAUCCAAAAGUUCAUCAUCAACAAGACUCUUGAAGGAGACGAUUACCUAAUUAAUUAAUCAGACUAACUUUUCAGUCCCAGUUUCAUCUUCUUGCUUAUCACCACCUGAAAGAGACCAUUACCUAAAUUAUUUGUAGGACCAUUAAGAUCGGUUUACCGGCUCUCGAACAAACCACUGAUCCUAAUUAACAAUCAACCACGGUUAUCUUCAAAAUAAAACAAUUUCAGAUGUAAAAGAAACAAGAUAAUACCAAAUGUUAAACCAAUAAAGAUAAGAACAUAAAUAUUAUGAUAUAUCUUAAAAAUCUUAACAAAUAUAUAUAUGGAUCACGUUAGUUUUGUUUGACAUAAAAUCUUAACAAAAAGUAUAUAUAUAUUUUUUCAAAUUUAUAUACAAAAUCACAGAAAAUAUUCCCUAACUUCUUAAACAACAUUAUGGAAUAUCCUAAUCCGUUCAAAAUACAACCCUGGAACAUCUCAAGCCUACACGCUAUAUAUACCUGUAGUUAUAACACCACAUUAUUAUAACUACAUUUACUCUCCAUUCUUUACAUUAUGCCUCCAAAAGCUAAAAGUUUCGUUAGUGAUAUCAAACCCUGGAAAACAGAGUGGCGAGUUCAUGUCAAAGCAGUUCAUUCAUGGAAACAACAAUCAAAGUUUGGUGGGGAAUCCUUAGAAAUGAUUCUUGCUGAUGAAACUGUGAGACAACAAUCAUUUUCAAACUCUUAUGUGGAAUAAGUGUUUAUCGCGAUUAUUAAUUCGUUUUUUUUUUCAUUAUAGAGUGCUAAGAUACAUGCUUCUUGCAAACAUGGCUUUCUUGCUAAAGUUCGACGAGAUCUUCCUAUUAACGAAUGGAGGGUUAUUGAUACUUUCAAUGUAUCUCCUGCAAGAGGGUAUUACAGAACAACAGCUCACGCAUACAGAAUUGCUAUAACCAAUGACACAUCAAUCGCCUCCUCAGAUGUGAAAAUAGAAACUCCGUUUCUAUCUCUGGCCUCUUUUACAUCUAUCAACAAUGGAGAUCUUGAUCCUGAUUUUCUGAUUGGUACCUAUUUCUUAUUUUAUAUAUUUGUUGUUAAAUCUAUAAACAAUGGUGAUCGUGAUCCUUAUUUUUGAUUUUAUAUUGUAUGUUUUUCAGAUGUAUUUGGACAAGUUGUUGAAAUUGGUGAUAUGCUGACCGUUCAAGUGAGUGGUGAAGAAAGGAAAAAAUGUGAAUUCUACUUAAGAGACACAAGGUAGAUUUUAAACAAUAAUUUAUAAUACGAGAAUUUUAAAAUGCUAUGACCUGGCUUUAUAAAUGUUUAAAAUUUUACAGUGGACACGCAAUUCAAUGUUGUCUUUGGGGACGAUUUGCUAAACAAUUUCAAGUGUCUUGUCAAGAAGCAGAUAAACAGAUCAUUUUAUGUUUGAUCCGUUUUGCAAAGAUAACCUCCUAUAGAGGUUAGUUAAUAUGAAGCGUAUUUUUUUAAUACAAUUAUCCUAAACUAAUUAAUAUUGACUAUGUAGUUUCUUUAUUGUUAUAUAGGAGAGUUACAAGUCACAAAUUCCUUUGACGCAUCUGAUGUGAAAAUCAAUCCAAGCAUUCCUGAAUCUGAUGAGUAUAUGAAGUUGUAAGUGUAUACUUUAGUCUAUGAAAUGUCCAAAUGAAUUGCAAAAUCUAUAGUUAUAAAUGUUUUGUUCGUUAUGCUUAUAUUGAAGGUUAUCCCAAGAUGAUAUGUCCUUGACAACAACUGGGCUUGAUGUAACUAAAAAGAAAUUAAGGCGGAAGAGAGAAGUAUGGCUGACAUAUCCAGUUAAAACCGUAGCCGAAAUGAUAGCCGCAAAAGAGGUAUAUUUUAAUUGUUAUUUUCACAUCAAUCCUGCAACUUGGUCCUUAUUUUUUCUUUCAACAGAUUGAAAAGUGCAGAAUCACGGCUACCAUUUAUGGUAAUGAUACGGACUGGGCUUGGUUUUACUUUGGAUGUUGCCAAUGCACCAAAAAGGUGACAAGGAUCAGACGUGAAAUCGUUUUGGCCAAUUCAACUAAACCAUUGUGGCGUUGUGAUACAUGUCAUGAAAAUGUAUCAAAUGUCGAACCAAAGUAACCAUUUUUUAAUAAUCCUAUAAACAAUUUUUCUUACGAAUAUUUAAAUGUAGUUCUAACUUUGUAUGUGUGAUCUAGGUUCAAACUCCAUAUUCUGGUUAAAGACAACAACAACAAUACUAAGAUGCUGCUUCUUGACAGUGAAGCUCAAAAAGUAGUUGGUUGUAUGGCUAAACAAAUUUGGGAUGGGUCAUACAAUGAGGUAAUUAGAAUAAUAAUUUGUCUCACGUAAGUGUUCAAUUCAAUAUAUUAUCUAAUUUUUAAUAUAGUUGAUGACCAUACUUUUAUCAUUUUUUUAUAAGAUGGAGGAUCCAGAGCUACUACCAGUAGAAAUAGCAGGGGCUGUCGGGAAAACCUUUCACUUUGGAGUUCAAAUCAAUAAGGAUAAUGUUUCUUAUGGUGCUGACACUUAUAAAAUAUCAAAGGUGUGGACUCUUGAAGAAUUGGCUAAAAUUGAAGCUGAAGCAGCCGAAGCUGAUGCAUGCGAAACUGAAGAGCAGGAAAGUGAUGAACCAGUUAUCACCAUGUCUUCAACUAAAUCGUCUGACAAGGUCAAAUAUUCUUAUAUAAUAUAGACUUUUUAUCCUAUAUUUCACUAAUAUUUUUUCUGUGUGGUGUCUACUCAGAGUGAAAUUUCAAGCAAAGAUAUAUCCUAUGGUUUGUAUACUCCAUCAUCUAAGAGAAAAGAGGAAAUAGAUGCGCUGCCUGAUCUCAAUUCCACUAACAAGAAGCAAUGCACCAAGUUAAUAAAACUUGAGAAGGAUAACUUAAACUAGAAGGAAAAAAUGAACUUUAUUUGUUUUCAGUUAUGCUUUCGUUUUUAAAAAUAAGACUAGCUUAGUUUUUGUUUUCUUAUUUGGUUUCAGUUGUGCUUUUGGUUUUUAUAAUAACAUUUAUUCAUGUGUUUUAUUUUGUUUUUUUAAGUAGUUGCUUCUAUCUUUCAAUUCAGUAUUAAUAAAAUAAACUAGAUGAUAACCCGCGCUCUGCACGGACUGAUUUUUUUAAAAUAUAUUGUAUUUAAAUAUUAUAAAUAGUAUACUUUGCUAUGAAUAACUUUUUUUUUACAUUUGAAUCUUAAGAGUGGACACUCGGGUACCAUUUGGUUCGGUUCAAUUUGGCUCGGUUCGGUUUGUUCUGAUCUUUGCGAGUUUGAUUUAAUUCGAAUCUUUGCGGGUUUGGUUUGAGUUUGGAUUCAGAUAACUACUUUAACUUUAAAAACAAAAUAAAAUUCAUAUUUACUUUAAAUAUCUCAAAAUCUAAAAAUAAAAAUAAUAUAUAACAUAUAAAUUUGAAUAAUGUAUGCCAAAAUACUUAAACUUAAAAUAAAAUUUGGUUUAUCUUAAAUAUUUGGAUAUGAAAUAAAUAGAUAUUUUAAGUAAUUUUGGUAUUUUGAGUAUCCUUUAACUAUUUUAAACAUGUACUUUUAACUAUUUAUAUAUAUUUUUAAGUACUUUGGACAACUUAAAAACAUCUUAUAUAUUUUGUAUAUUCUUUAAAUAUUAAAUUUAAAAAUAAUUAAUAUAUUUAAGUAUAUAAAUAUGGUUCGAAUAUAUUCGGAUACCCGAAAUAUUUUGUUUCGGAUCCGGUUCCAUUUUGGUUCUCUAGAUACCAAAAUUUUGAACCCGUUCGGAUAUCUAACCAAUUUUGAUUAAAUUUCAUUACUACCUUUGGUACGAUUCUUUAGAUUCAGAUUUUUUGCCCAAACCUAUACUUUUUAUUGUAACAAAAUUUUAAACGAAAUUGAUGAUGAUUCGUAUUGAUUUUGAGUAUGCAAUCAUUUUUAUGCCAAAAUACAUUCUUCUAUGUACGUGGGACAUCUAGUUAAGGAAAACAAUGGACUGAAUUAAAGAAAACAUUACCAUUUCAGAUUUUUAAUCGACACUUUCAAAUUAUUCAUUUUCGGUAUUGUGACGAAGAGAAAGGUGGUAAAGGUUACGAAAGCAAAUUUGUUGUGCAAUCCAUAUUCUCGCUAGGUGAUUUCAAUAGCUUCUAAAUAAAUCUUUGUUGUAUCGACCGAGAUUUAGUAAUUUAUGGACGUUUUAAAAAAAAUUAAAAUAUAACAUAUAAGAAAAAAAUCUAAUUUUUUUAUUAUAUGGUUAAUGUGAUUGUUUAGUUUAUUUUAAAAAUAUAAACUUUCAAAUAUGAGAGAAUCUCGUGAUAAAUAAAUUGUAUUAAGUUGUUAUCAAUUAUUUGAUGUGCAAAUCAAGUUAGUAUGAAUAAUAUCUUGUUAAGAAUCUUGUAGAUAAGGAUUAUAUUUUUGAAAUAUUUGCUGAAUAAUAUCUUUGUAAUUUUCUUGUAGAUAAGGAUUAUAUUUUCGAAAUUAGUAGUUACAAAUAUUUUUUAAAUAAAUAAUACAUGUAAUUCCUAACUUAUACUCUAUUUUUUUUUAAAUAGAUUUUUAUAAAUAGAUAUCAUAUUUUGGCACUUUUGAAAUUAUAUUAUUGAAGUUUAUAUAAUGACAUGUAUCUCUAAGUCUCUAAGUCAUGUGUUCAUAAUGGCAUGUAAGUUAAAGAGGAACCAAACAUAUACAUGUUCAGUAUAGAAAAAAUUAUAUGAUGUUGAUAAGAGAAAAUUAUAAAUCAACUUAGAGCAAAGUUUAAUCUAUAGUAAAAGAGGUCCAAGUGAGAGUUAUUGAAUUGCUAAUAUAAUUGUAAAUAUACAAUCGGUAUAGUUUAAUAGAGUAGAUAGAACAUAAUUCAAUAGAACAUAAUUCGUUUGGUUGUUAUAAUAUAAUAGAUUGUUGGUUUAAUUUAAGUUAUCUAGUUUUAAUUUUAUUGUAUAAUUAAUUGUAACUAACAGGAUAUGGUCCAUAAAUUAUGUAACACACUAACAAACUUGAAACAGUCCAAAACUUAAAUGACAAUUUCAAUGGUAGAUAAAUUUAGGACUCUAUUUUAAUAGAGUAGAGGGUUCAUGUUUUACUAUUGUUAUUGAAUGUUUAACUAUUUAUGAUAAUUUAUUGAACAAUCUACUCUAUUCAACAAUCAUAAUCACUAAGAAAGAGUCAUUGGUCGUCUUACUUGACUUUUAUGAUCGCCUUGAUAUAUAAGUAUUAACAUCUAUCCCUGAAACUGAAACAAACCUGGUGCAAUAAGAGCACAACUGGUAUUAAUUAAGAGACUCCACUAACAAAACUAAAAAAAAAAUUAAUACUGACGAAGUUAUGAUAUUAUAACGGAUUUUAUAAAAUAUGAAAUCUAACUAUAAUAACUUUAAAUUGUAUCCAAAAUAUAAUUCCUCAACAAUAAUAUAUUUUAUCCAACAAAUUAAUUUAUCCAAAUUCAAUAAAAUCCCAUAGUCAAAAUAAAUGUUAUAUCUGAAUAUUUAAGAUAUUCGAAUAACAGAUAUAGUCAUCCUUAAAUUCAGAAUGCGGUUGAAUAUCUACAUUAUAAAGAUUUAAUAUCUUGACUUCAUUUAACCUCUCCUACAAAAUAUGGAUUCUAUAGUCAAAAUAUAUGUUAUAUUCGAAUAACUUUUCAAUAUAUUCAUCCUUAAAAUCAGAUAUGCAUUAAAAUGCUCAUUCUAUCUACAUUAUAAAGAUUUCAUAUCUUAACUUCAUUUAACCUCUCCUACAAAAUAUGGAUUUUACAGUUCAAGUUAGACUCCUAGAUGGUAUGGAAUAUCCUCACGAUGUUGAAAUGGAAUAUCCACGCGAUCCUCACUAAACCUAUCUUUACUACCAAAUCACUAUAAAACAUAUUCUAACUCCUUAUAUUUUCAACACCUCACGUUUAAAAAUACUGACACAAAAAUGGCUAUUGUUCCAACCGACCAAAUAACUUUGUUGAACCAUGUCAAACAAUUUAAAACAACUUGGAAGGUUGAAGUGAAAGUUCUGCAUCUAUGGACACAACAAUCGAAUGGAGACUCUCUUCAGUUCAUACUCGCAGAUAAGACAGUAAGUGUAUCUAUUUGUUAUGGUCUUAUGUUUCACAAACGCUAUAUUGCUAACUUCUGAACUACAUUUUUUCUAAUGUUAAUAUAGGGUGUUAAAAUUCAUGCUACCUGCAAGAGACCCUUCUUUUCUCGUGUUCAAAAACUGGUGGUUGGACAAUAUAUAUUUAUUGAGAAUUUCUCUCUAACCGCAGCUGCUGGAAAUUACCGACCUACGCGACAUGAAUACAUUAUAUUGAUCACAAGUAACACCAACGUCACCAAUUCUUACUGCAAAAUGAUGACAAUUUUUUGACAUUAACCACUAUCCCAGAAAUUGUGAACGGAAAUCUUGAUUCCAAGUUUCUUAUUGGUAACUUACAAGUGUUUUUGUUUAUAAUCUAUAUGCUUCCUUUUAUAGAUAUUUAUCUUAAUAUUGUUUAUAUGGUUGUAGAUGUUAUUGGUCAUCCAAUAGAUAUUGGCAAUAUUCAGGUUGUCCCAGUGCAAGGUAAAGAAACAAAGAAGUUGGAACUUACUUUGACAGAUUCAUAGUAAGUUACUAAUUAUAUUUCACAAAUAUAUAUUUCAAAUGUUUAAAAAUCUGUGUUUAAUAUAUUACGACCUUUUUCAACUAUUAUCAGCGGUCACCAAAUAGCAACUUGUCUUUGGGGUCUAUGUGCUGAACACGUGUUAUAUGCAUACAAAGUUGGUCAAGUUAAUCAGAAUUUUCUCUGUUUACUGAGAUUUGCUAAAAUCUCAGUGUACAUUGGUAAGAUAUCUACUAAACUAUUAAGAAGUUUAUAUUUAAAAGAUGAUUUUGUGCCCAUAUUGUAAUGUAAUUUUUUUUUGUUGUAGGACAAGUCCAGAUAACAAAUGCAUUUGAAAUUUCAAGUGUGGAGAUAAAUCCACCUGGAUUUAUUCUGCAAGAUUAUAUAAGACUGUACUAGAUUUUGACCCGCGCUUGGAAAGCGCGGGUUUGUUUUCGAAAUUAAAUAUAAAUUUUUGAUGAAUUUCUAUAUAAGAGUAUAAAUUUAAGUACAUUUAUUCGAAACCUCAAAUCGAAUUGUAUCAAACUGAAAAAAAGAACCGAACAGAUCAUAUAUCUUUAGAACUCAAAAUUAAAAUCAAACCAAAAACUGAAUGGGUACCGGAAUAUUUAAAGUACAAAUUAUAUAUUCACAAAUAUUAAUGAUGAUGACUAAUAGUGCAUCAAUACCAUUUAAAUGGUGAGAAGAAAUUUUUUUUAAAAAAUUAUUGAACUAUUUUUAGUGGAGUACAUAUAUGAUUUAUAAACGAAUUAAGAUAUAAGAAAUAUUUUUAUAUCCGAUCCAGAUCUGUGAUCGAACUGGUAAAUAUAGUGGUCGUAUAUAACCCGGACUGGUUUAUGUUUUUCAUGUAGCAUUCUGUCAGAUUUUUUUACAAACUCAUAUGUUUCCACAAAAUUUGUAUUCAAUGAAAACUUAUUAAUUAAAAUCCAAUAAAACCAAAAAAUUCGCUAUUAAUCCGUGGACCGACACCGAUUAACCCGGUAAAACCAUAAUUUUAAUACCUUUUAAACAUUUCAUAUACUUUACAAUACUACAAAAAACUGAAUAAACUAUUUUAUUUGUCAUAUAAAUAAAUUUAUUGUAUUUAUGUUAUGCAUUUUAAUUUAUAAUUUUUGUAUUGAUCAAUACUAUUACAAUUUAAAUGUAUAUUGUUUAUUUAUUUUGUUUAGAAGCAUACAUUGGGUUUACACCUAUUAAUAAAAUUAAAAAUUAGGAUUGAUACAAUGAGAAAUUUUUAAUAGAUCAUGAAUGCAAAGAAUUAAAUUAAUUAAUGGGUAUGUAUAGUCUUUAUCCCAAAACCCAAAAUACCAAAUUUUCAUCAAUGAGAAUUAAUUUUUUUUUGUAAUUUUAAGAACAUUUUGUAAAAUAGUCAUUUUCAUUAAAAGUAGAAAAAUAAUAUUAUAGGUAUUAUUUGUUAGUGUUUCAAAAGGUAUUAUUUGUUAACUUAUAUUUUUGUAGUUGUUAGUAUAUUUAAGAGUCAUUAGAUUUGGUAAUCAUAGUUGGAUUAAAUAUGAUUGAUCUUGUUUAAUAUAGUAUUUUCGUAUAGUUUAAGAAGUCUCUACAUAUUCUUUUGAUUUCUUUAUCACAAUAAUCGUGAUCCCACUGUAUUAGGGUUUUAAUUUUUUUAUGGUAACAGAAAAAAAUAAAUAUGCAUAGUUAGUUAUUAGUCGCAUUUAGUUAGAAUAAUUAAUUGUAUAACUAAAAAUAUAAUAACUUGUUAUAGAUAGGUCCAACAACCUUAUAUAUAGGAGAAGACCAAAAUAUAAUAAAAGGAAAAUAUCCCAACAACUUUCAUAGGUAGAUUUCUCAAGACUGCUUCACUUUUAAUAGAAUAGAUGUUCUAUUAUAGUCUCAUAAUAAUUACAUAUUUUAUUAGGAUCAUACAUAAAUAUAUUAAUGCAAAGUUUACGUAUUACUCUUUAGGAUGCCAAAUGACCUUACUCUCACUGCUGCUGUUCCACAUGUUGUGAAAACGAUUGGAAACCAACGACAACCAGAAACGUGGUCUCUUUAUCCAGAGAGAACAAUUUUAGAAAUCAUAAUGUCAACUAAGGUUCAUUUUCUUAUUUGUAUGUAAACUUUUUGUAUUAUAAGAUACACAUUUACUAACACUAUUGUUAUUUUUGUAGAUUGAAAAAUGCAUUGUUAAGGCAACAAUUUAUGCAAUAGACACAGACUGGGCAUGGUAUUAUUUUGGAUGUGUUAAGUGCCACUUCCAUAAGGUGACCAACAUUACUAAUAAGGAUCUGGUGCCUCUGAAACAUCUUUGGCAUUGUGGUACAUGCCAUCAGUCAGUCACCCAUGUUGCACCUAAUUAUGUUUCUAAAUCUUGAUUCAAUAAUAUAGUUGAUAUAUGUCUUCACUAAUUUGGAAAUUUCUAUUAGGUUUAAACUACAUCUACUAUUAAAGGAUGAAACUGGUGAGUUACCCGUGAUGUUGCUUGAUACUAUUGCUGAACACAUUUUGGGAGUAAGUGCUGAAGUGCUCUUGGAUGGAUCUUUAGAAGAGGUAUGUAUAAGUUGUAGUUGAGAUAUCAUAUUUUGUUUUAUAAAUAAGAUAAUUAUUAAAACUAAUUUAUAUUUCUAUUUAGGUUAAGGAUUUUGAGGACUUGCCUGACACUAUUAAUGAUCUGAUUGGGAAGACAUUCAAAUUUGGUGUCUAUGUGAGCAAAGACAAUGUUGACUACGGAUGCCAUAUAUUUAACAUUGGGGGAACUUGGUCUGCUGAUGAAAUAUUCUCUCAGUCUGACAAUGAUAAUACUGAAGAUACAACCCACAUUGUAGUUUCAUGUGAUCAUUUACCAGGACAGGUUUGUAAUUUUAAUUUUUUUUUUAAAUUAAUAGAUUAACCAUAUUUGUAUUUUUGACCAAAAUAUUCUUUAUAUGUUUCAAUGUUUUAGGAUUCUUCCGUUAGCAUCGAAAAUGCAGCCAACACAUGUUUUUCUUCAACUCCACUAUCAAAACGAAAAGUCCACAAUGAGAUUGAUGACCUUUCUUUCACUUCAAAGAGCAGAUGCUCUAAGAUAAUCAAGGUGAAAAUGAAUGAUGGAGAGUAGUUAAAAGGGGCGUGCAUUUGACGAUUUGGUUGUAUCUUAUGAUCUCAAACAUAUUUUUUUUUAUUUUGCUCUUAUGAUGUUAUCUUCAGUUUGUCGUAUUAGUUUGAUAUUUUUUUUACUAUCAGUUAGGAAAAAAUUUUGAGUUUUAAUAAAAUAAUUGAGUAUUGAUUAUGAUGUCAUUCAUUUUAUAGCACUUCAAGAUAUUCUACUAUGUGUUAUGAUCUAAUAUAUUUUAUAACCUACGAGCAUUUAACGUUAAUAAAUACUUACUUGUCAUAUGCUGUAGUUGAAAUCCCUUUAGACAAUAUAAUAGCAUAAACUAUCCUGAAAAAACAAAACUAAAUGUUUAUACAAUCAAUCCUGUGACCCUUUCAAAGAUUAAUGACUAAGAUACAUUUUAAACCCUUAUACAAUCAAUUACGUCUUCUAAAUUGAUCAACUUAUGUAAGAACAUGUUAUAGUACUAACUUCUUUACGUCUAUUUAUAUAUAAAUAGAGUUUAUAAAAAUUUAGACCUUAGAUGAUCAGAAAGCAUGUUGCUCCUCAUGGAAAUUAAUGGAUUUUAAAAUGUAACUUAAAUAUAUUAUCCAAACAAUAAUAUAUUUAUCCUAACAGAUUAUUUUUUUCCAACUUAUUCUGUUUGAAAUAUCAAUCUCAAAAAAUUUAAAUUAAUUUGGUGAACCCGCCAAGUAACCUUACAGAAUAUUCUAUAAUCAAAACAAAUGACUUACGUGAUCAUUCUCUUUUCUCCACAAAACACACCAAUCGAAAUCUAAGGUUUCCAAUUCUUCAACAAUCGACAUCUAUGACUCUUUCUCAAUAACAUAAUACUUAUAUGUUUGUUUGAUUAGCAGGUCACAAUGAGAAAGAGACAAUAUAAUGGUUUGACCCAAUUCCACAGGGAAAAUGGUCAUAUAUCAAUGGAUAAUACAAGUAAUGCUACUAAUCGUCAAAGUAAUGGUUUACAACAUUCAAAUCGGAAUUCUAUUCAACAUUCAAUACCAUUAAGAUCAGUUUUUAAGCGGAUUUUGGGUGAUCUUAAAAACAUACCUGUAUCUUCUGGUAUUCAAAGGAGUUCCCAAGGAAAUCUCUUUGUGGCUGUUGAACCUACAAAGAAAAGAAAACUCAUAACUGGUAUUAAACUCUAUUGAGAUGAUAACUAAAUAUCAUUAUAUCAUUAUAUCUCAUUGAGAACGUAUUACAAUGCGUUUUAGGGAUUAUGAAAGAAAAUGUCAGAAACUUGCAAUCAGUGAAAAAAAGUAAGCAAAAUCCAGAAAUACCAUGUAAGUUUUACUUCAGUUAUUAUCUACUCUAUUUUAAGUAAAGGGAGUUAAAUGCAACUUCAAACUGACUGUUCGUUUUAUGAACUUAGCCUCAGGUGAACAAAUUUCAGGUGUUAUAUUGGAUGAUGAUGAUGAUGCUGACUUUGAACUAUCAGAUGUUUCAUCUAACGGUAAUUUCGUAAUUAUAUUAGUUUUCUGUGUUGUUGUCAUAAAAUUAUUUUUUCACUCGAGUUACAUUGAAUUUUAUCAGGAACAAUGCGUGACGAUAAUGAUCAAGAGUUUGACUGUAGUAGCAUAGAGAGUACUGAUUCUGAUGAAGAAAAUGCUUAUGUCGUCAACCCAAAAAAAUGAAAACAGAUAAUCACAGAAGUCGGGUCCUUACAAUGGCAGCAUUUAUGAAACAAGCUUUCUACAAUACCAAAUCUAAAACUGCCAAGGUUGCAAAAAAAGAAUGUUGUAAGUUCUGAAACAAAAAUCUACCAUCCUGAAUUUGUAUAUGUAUCAAAACAAAGACUACCAUGAAUUCUUUUUCACCAGACCCAAAUAUGUGUUUUGUAGAUUAUAUUGAUGAAGGUGAUGCAACAUAUAUAUGUGAGCAUUGUGGAGCGUAUAUGUGGUUUGGGGAGCGUAUAAACAAGAGUAUGAAGUCAAGAAAACCCAUAUUUACUCUAUGUUGUAUGCAAGGUCAAGUUCAGUUGCCUCUUUUAAAAAAAACCCCGGAGCUAAUGGAAAGGCUACUUAAUGGAGAUGAUAAGCUCAGCAAACAUUUUCAAAGGAAUACCCGGCCUUAUAACAUGGUAUUUUCAUUUACUUCUAUUGGAGGGAAGAUAGAUCGUUCUCUUCCAAAAGGGUUAGGACCAAAAAUGUUUCAGCUUCAAGGUGAAAACUACCAUAGACUGGGGAGUUUGAAACCUCCAGAUGGUAAUUCUGCAAAGUUUGGUCAGCUAUACAUUGUCGACACAAAGAAUGAGGCAGAGAAUAGAGUUAACAUAUUAAGGUAUUAUCUAAAUGAGUUUUCCGAUGAUUCAUAUUCUUGGCAUGUUAAGUUAAUUCAAUACUUAUUUGAUUACAUUAACAAUGUUUACAGCAAAGGCAAGAAAGAUGGUUUGAAAAAGGAGAUCAUCCAGAAAAUAAUAGCUAUGCUAGACGAAGUCAAUCCAUAUGUCUCCAAAUUUCGACAAGCUAGACACAGAUUGGAUGAUAAUCCUAAGAGUACUCUACAUAUGAGGAUUGUUAGUGACCGUUUAAAAGAUGGAAGGACAUAUAGCAUGCCAACUGCUUCUGAAGUCGCAGCACUAAUUCCAGGGGAUUUUCAAUUAGGAAUGGAUAAGAGGGACAUUGUUAUUGAGGAAAAAUCAGGGAGGCUACAAAGAAUAAGUGAAAUUCAUAUUUCAUACCUUGCACUACAGUAUCCUCUGAUAUUUGUUUAUGGUGAGGAUGGUUUUUGACUUGGUAUUAAGAAGGGUGUCACAGAAGCUAACAAGAAGCUGAAGAAAGAUACAAUUAGUAUGAGACAGUUUUUUGCUUUCAGGAUUCAAGAUAGAGAAAAUGAGUCUAAUGUUCUUCUGAAAUCAAGAAGGUUGUUUCAACAAUUUCUGGUUGAUGAUUACACAACCAUUGAGAAAACAGGCUCCGUUAUCUCAAGUUUAACCAGACUUGCUUGCGAUCCGACAGCUAUGAUUCUAUUAAAGAAUCUGAAAGUGCAGGCAACAUCGAUAUGCAUGAACAAGGUCAGCAGUUUAUAUUGCCAGCAACUUUCACAGGAAGUCCUAGAUACAUGAGGAAUAACUAUCUUGAUGCAAUGACCAUUUGCAAGCAUUUUGGUUUCCCUGAUCUAUUUAUCACUUUCACUUGCAAUCCAAAAUGGCCAGAGAUAACUAGAUAUGUACAGAAACAUGGAUUGAAGGCUGACGACAGACCUGACAUCAUUUGUCGAAUGUUUAAGAUGAUGCUAGACUCUUUGAUGGACGAUUUAACGAAGAAGAAACUUUUGGGAAAAACUGUUUCAUGUAUGUACUUCUGUUUCAAGUUAUUAAAUUCUGUGUAUCAAAUUUUUGGACUAACUCGAUUGCUUUCUUCAUUUUUUCAGCUAUGUAUACAGUAGAGUUUCAGAAACGUGGACUUCCUCAUGCUCACAUCCUACUUUAUAUGCAUCCUGACUCGAAAUUUCUCACUAUUGAUGACAUAGAAAAUAUCAUAUCUGCUGAAAUACCAGAUAAAGAUGAAGAGCCAGAGCUGUAUAAUGUUGUUAAGGACAUGAUGAUUCACGGUCCAUGUGGAGCUGCCAACAUGAAUUCACCAUGUAUGGAAAAUGGGAAUUGUGAGAAGAAUUAUCCUAAACGACAUGCAGAGAAAACUACAGUUAACAAAGAGGGCUUUCCUGUGUAUAGGCGACGUGAACAAUCAGGUGUUUAUAUUGAGAAAAACGGCAUUAAACUCGAUAACAGAUGGGUUAUCCCGUAUAACAAGAAGCUGUCUCUUCGUUAUAGAGCUCACAUCAAUGUCGAGUGGUGCAAUCAAGCUGGUUCUAUUAAAUACUUAUUUAAGUAUAUUAACAAGGGAGCAGAUCGGGUCACUGUAGCAGUAGAACCACCAGAGAUGGAUGCAUCAAAUAAUGUUAUUGCUGGAGAAGGUGUGGUGAAUGAAAAGAAGAAUGAAAUAAAAGACUUCUUCGAUUGCAGGUGAUUGAUGCAUUCUACAUUUUAAUUACGAUUUUAUAUUGGUAAAUGACUAGAAAGUAUGAAUCCUAACUAUUGUCUUUAUUGUAUAGAUAUGUUUCAGCUUGUGAAGGUGCCUGGAGAAUUUUUAAAUAUCUGAUUCAUUACAGAUCUACUCCGGUUGAGAAACUCACAUUCCAUCUACCCGGAAAACAAAGUCAUUUUCAAAGGUAAAGACAAACUUCAGGACGUUGUCAGCCGCGAACUCAUUGAGAAUACAAUGUAUCUAGCAUGGUUUGAGCUGAAUAAAGUGGAUGCUUUCGCUAGGACUCUAACUUAUGCUCAGAUCCCCAACUUCUAUACAUUUGAUAAGAGUAAAAAGAUGUUCAAAAGACGAAAACAAGGAUUUAGUGUUGGAAGAAUCAAUUAUGCUCCGUGCAAGCAAGAGGCAGCCUAUUAUUUAAGAGUGUUAUUGAACAUUGUUAAAGGUCCUACCAGUUUUCAAGACUUGAAGACCUAUAACAAUGUAGUAUAUGCUGAGUACAAAGAUGCAUGUUUUGCUCGAGGUUUAUUGGAUGAUGAUCAAGAGUAUAUUGAUGAUUUAGCAAGGCACAGUUUUCAAAGUUCUGCAUCCUUUGUUAGAGAGAUGUUUGUGAUGAUGCUAAGCUCUGAUAGUUUGGGUCAACCAGAGGUUGUCUUCAAACAAACUUGGGAACUAUUGUCAGAAGACAGUGAGUAUCAUCAUAGGAAACGUCUGAAAAUACCAGGUAUCAAAUUAUCACUUUUUUGGCUUUUUAUGUUAUCACUUUAAAACACGUGACUUAUCAUUUCUAAAACAUAUAUUGUUCUCAUUCUGUUACUCAUGAUAUAUGUUUUACAGGACUUAUUUUAACUGCUGAAGAGAAACAACAAUUUGCUCUGGUAGAGAUUGAGAAGCUUAUGAAAAGGAAUGAGAGUUCUUUAUCGUUGUAUGAAUCUAUGCCAAAGAUUCAAAGCCAUAGUAGUCGGAUGGAAAAUGUAUUGAUAUUCGAUGAACGUAACUACAAUCUUGAAGAAUUGAGAGCAGCUCAUGAUAGAGAUAUACUUAGGAUGACGGAUGAACAUAAGAAGAUAUAUGAUGAGAUCAUUGGUGCUGUUGAUGCUGAAAGAGGUGGAAUGUUCUUUGUUUAUGGAUUUGGUGGCACCGGAAAGACAUUUUUGUGGCGAAUCCUUUCAGCUGCAAUAAGGUGUAAGGGAGAUAUAGUACUGAAUACUGCAUCUAGCGGAAUUGCUUCUCUAUUGUUACAAUGUGGUAGGACUGCUCAUUCCCGGUUUGGCAUACCCAUUAAUCCAGACGAGUUUACCACAUGUAAUAUUGUUCAUGGCACACAUAAGGCUAAUCUUAUAAAGGAAGCAUCACUUAUCAUAUGGGAUGAAGCACCCAUGAUGAGCAAGUAUUGUUUUGAAUCUUUGGACAGAAGUUUAAAGGAUCUUAUGGGAAAUCAUAGAAACAAGCUAUUUGGUGGAAAAGUAGUUGUGUUUGGAGGUGAUUUUCGUUAAGUACUUCCAGUCAUCACCGGAGCUGGUAGGGCAGAGAUUGUAUUGGCUGCAAUGAAUUCUUCAUAUCUUUGGGAGCACUGCAAGGUCUUGAAGCUCACAAAAAACAUGCGAUUGUCUUCCAAUAAUCUGACUGAUGAGGAAGCAAAUGAUCUUAAGGAAUUUUCCAACUGGAUUUUGGACGUUGGCGAUGGAAAGAUUGAGGAGCCAAAUGAUGGGGAGGUUCUGAUAGAUAUUCCUGAUGAGUUUUUAAUAAUUGACCCCAAGGAUCCUAUUGAGACUAUAAGCCAUGCUAUUUAUGGAAGCAGUGAUUCCCUCAGAGAGUUACAGGAUCCUAUAUUUUUUCAAGAGAGAGCAAUCUUAUGUCCAACUAAUGAGGAUGUUAAUAUGAUUAAUGAUCAUAUGUUAUCUAAACUUGAUGGUUAGUCAACACUUUCUAUAUAAUGUAAACAUUGAUAUGCGCCUUAGACCUUAACGUUUUCUUUAUUGAUGUUUUUUCAGGUGAAGAAAUGAUCUAUAUUAGUUCUGACAGUAUUGAUCCAUCCGAUUUGACCUCAGAAAAUAAUCAAGCACUCAGUACUGAUUUUUUGAACAGUAUUAAAGUUUCUGGACUGCCAAACCAUAGUUUGAGAUUGAAGAUUGGUUGUCCUGUUAUGUUGCUCAGAAAUAUUAAUUCUACAGGGGGUUUAAUGAAUGGAACCAGACUGCAAAUAACAGAGAUGAUGGAUUUCAUGGUUGGUGCUAGAAUACUUACUGGGGAGAAAGUCGGUGACAUAGUUUAUAUUCCUAGGUUGUUGAUACAUCCAUCAGAUAAGAAACUUCCUUUCAAAAUGCGAAGAAAACAAUUGCCUUUAGCUGUUGCUUUUGCAAUAACUAUCAACAAAAGCCAAGGACAAUCACUCUCUCAAGUUGGUCUAUUUCUUCCUAGACCUGUGUUUUCACAUGGACAGCUCUAUGUUGCAAUUUCUAGGGUGACCUCAAAGAAAGGAUUGAAAAUCCUUAUUGUGGACAAGGAUGGAAAGCCUCAGAGGAAGACUAAGAAUGUUGUUUUCAAAGAAGUGUUUAACAACCUUGAAAACGAAGAUCAGGAUUGAAAGUUGACUUGAUUUUGUUUCUAUGGUUGAACAAUGUUAUGAAUUUGUUUUUAAAGUUUAAGCUCUUUUGAACCUUCUAAGUUUGGUAUAAUUCUCAUGUUUUAUCUAAGUUUGAUGCAGUGUUAUUUCUUUUGUCCAUGAUCCAUGCAAAACUAAGCAUACCACGAGCAUUAUCACACAUUCAAGUAAUUCAUUUUAAAUCUCCAAAAAAAAAAAGAAUGAUAUAAGAGUAAUUCUAAGCCAAAAACUACUUAGAAAAAAAAUGAACAAGCCGUUCUAAACUAACCAGUCAAUUCAUAAUAGUAUGAAUCCUAUACUAUUUCUUUAGUUUUGAGUAACUAACCUUAGUAUUCGUUAUAUGAAUGUACUGGCCAAUUUAUAAUUCUUUGAUGAUUGUGGUUACAUUCUUAGUUUCUGGUCAAUUCACCAUGUACCUGAAACAAAGUUGUCGUAUAAAUCAUAUUAACAACAAUUAUUACUAAGAAUGAAAGAUAUAAGUCGUAUUGUUCCAUAUCCAAAGAAUUUCUGUGAUAAUAUUCUGAUUAAUCAUUAAGCUAGACAAUUAAGCAUCUAUUUCUUAAAACAGUUAGUAAAAUUCUUGCUAAAAUUGCAUUUAUAGCUUAACGAUUAUAUAAAGCAUCAAGAUAGAGACUUGGACUUAUCUUUGAGGCUCUCUUAUUGUAGAACCACAACUUCCUUCUAUUCUCCUAUCA